AUAUCUGUGGAGUUAGUGACUGAUACUGUAGUGUCUAGGAUAUCUGUGGAGUUAGUGACUGAUACUGUAGUGUCUAGGAUAUCUGUGGAGUUAGUGACUGAUACUGUAGUGUCUAGGAUAUCUGUGGAGUUAGUGACUGAUACUGUAGUGUCUAGGAUGUAGUGUCUCGGAUAUCUGUGGAGGUAGUGACUGAUACUGUAGUGUCUAGGAUAUCUGUGGAGUUAGUGACUGAUACUGUAGUGUCUAGGAUAUCUGUGGAGUUAGUGACUGAUACUGUAGUGUCUAGGAUAUCUGUGGAGUUAGUGACUGAUACUGUAGUGUCUAGGAUGUAGUGUCUCGGAUAUCUGUGGAGUUAGUGACUGAUACUGUAGUGUCUAGGAUAUCUGUGGAGUUAGUGACUGAUACUGUAGUGUCUAGGAUAUCUGUGGAGUUAGUGACUGAUACUGUAGUGUCUAGGAUAUCUGUGGAGUCUGAAGAAUCUGCCAUGCGGGUGUUCGUAUGACUUCAUCAAACCAGGCAAUAAAUUAAAUUGACCACAGCAGUAUUGUAAAUAACAAUUAGUUCUUAACUGACUUGCCAAGUUAAAUAAAAUAAAAAAUACAUAAAAAUAUUAAAAACACAACCCAGUUAGAAAAGUUUGAAAUAUGAUGUAACAUUUGAAUAUGAUGUAACAUCUAACAUGUGGAUAUGUGAUCAACUCUAUAUAUCAGGAGCUUGUGUAUGGAGAAAUUAUUAAUAAAUAAAGUAAAAAUGAUUAUGGUGAAGAAACUCUUGGAACAAACAAGAUACAAUAUCUAACCUCAGAACCUCUCCAUAAACAUGUCUUUAUCUGUCUCUAGACGUCAGACAUUAACCUCUCCAUAAACAUGUCUUUAUGAAUAUAUACUGAACAAAAAUAUA
rnacentral:lncRNA from 1 species